UCUUGGUUCCUAGGUUGAUGCUCAACCACUGAGCCACACUGACUGGGCGGCUUUUUUCUUUUUUUUUUAAGAUAUAGUGUGAGUUCUUUUUUGGUUAAUUGGGUUAUGUCACUCAGUGAAAAUGUACAAGGAAUAAUGCCCUUUUCUGAAAAUGUUUAUCAGCAAUGUCAGCAAACAGUGUGAACAGGACAAAUUCGAAAGCACCACACCCACAGUGUGAAAAAUGAGGAAAAGCAGAAAUGACCGAUGGCGUUGAGGCAGCGAAGUAUUUUAUUAAAAUUAUAAGAAUGUGUAUUUCCAUCUCCAUGUUGGAGCUUGACAUUCACCGGUGGUGCCUCGAGAAAAUGGAAAUUAACAUGAGAGACGGAAGCAGUGUGUGAGUUGUCUGUUAUUACGCCGAUUAUUUUUAAAGUGUGAGGAUAAAGAUGCAAUUUGAGAAAUUGAGAAAAAAAGCGUCUUUUCUUUUGAAGGUUUUCCCCUUUCUGUAUACAUAUUCCAGAAUUUUAAUUAUUUUAAAUCUUGAUGGUUUCCAAUUGGCCUUUUAUAUUGGUUUGAUGAUGUGGUGAUCUGAUUGGUAAAGUGAACUUUGCCCUGGGUCUUCCAUUCUGCCUGGAUCUAAACACUCGGCCUUCCAGCCACUCUGUGUGCGUGUGGCCGUGCGCAGCAGCCACUGUCUCCCAUGAUUUAACAUAAGGGAGCAUGUAGCCGUGCAGAGAUCAGCACGCAUGGCGAGUAAGAAGAUGGAGACAAGGGUCCAGAGGGCCUGCUGUCAGCCUCGUAGACCUGCUGCCACCCUGUGGCCAGGUUUCACUGUAGCCCGUGUGCAGCGUGAUGGUUAGGGAAAGGGUGACGGGUGUGCAGUGGGUGUGUUUAGGGAAAGGGUGACGGGUGUGCAGUGGGUGUGUUUAGGGAAAGGGUGACGGGUGUGCAGUGGAUGUGUUUAGGGAAAGGGUGACGGUGUGCAGUGGGUGUGUUUAGGGAAAGGGUGACGGGUGUGCAGUACGUGUGUUUAGGGAAAGGGUGACACAUAUGCCGAGUAUAACAGGUCAGAUGAGAAGCAGGCCUAGCAAGGAGAAGGUGCAUUUGAAUGUCUUUUUAGUGGUAGCUCCAUGGGAUGAGCUGGAGACAGAUGAGGGCAAGACCCUGCAGGUGCAGCAGCAGCUGGGCUGCCCGUGGCCUGCGGACCUGGCACUCUAUGACGUCGGGGGUGCUCAGUGACAUUGAGGGCUGCUGAGGCCUGCGGAUCUGGCGCUCGCUGGCCUUGGGGCCUGUGGUCUGGAAGUUCUUCAGUUCUUCCUCCACCUUCUAGUUUAGUCACAGAGCUGUCACAGCGUCACCUUUAACCCCCUUGUUGACAAACAGAGAACAGGCUUCAGGCUCAGACCUUCAGCCACAACAUAACGAUCUUUUCAUUUUUUAAAAUUGUACUUUUGCCGAAGCCAGCUUGG